UAUUAAAUAAGUGUCGAUAUCAUCAUGGC
rnacentral:piRNA from 1 species